UGGUCAAGGGCGAUACCACUUGGGGUUUCAACAUGCUGCACUGGCCGAAAGGCCGUGAGAUUGCCGGUUAUGGGAACCAUCAUACGGAGUUGAGUGGACAGAUUGUCAUCAUCGUCGGAAGACGAAACACUAUUGUUAGUAGUGUCUGUUUGGUCACGUAUGAAAAAACCAGACAGUGGCCGGUGGGUAAUGGUGGGUUGUCUCCUUAGUGUCCUCUCAUAUUCAACAACUGAUAAGAACUAAUGUAGGAUAAGUUGUGAAAGUUUAAUAUAUACCUUAUAUGCAGACAUGUGAUUGGCAUCGACAUACCUCUUUUUCCUUUAUCGUACACAUUCCCGCUUUCCUGUGACAUCUCUGGCUUCUAUAUGUUAUUCAGUAAAAUGGCGUUAUUUUGAAAAAAGAAAA
rnacentral:lncRNA from 1 species